rnacentral:rRNA from 1 species
GACGAACGCUGGCGGCGUGCUUAACACAUGCAAGUCGAACGGAAAGGCCCUGCUUUUGUGGGGUGCUCGAGUGGCGAACGGGUGAGUAACACGUGAGUAACCUGCCCUUGACUUUGGGAUAACUUCAGGAAACUGGGGCUAAUACCGGAUAGGAGCUCCUGCUGCAUGGUGGGGGUUGGAAAGUUUCGGCGGUUGGGGAUGGACUCGCGGCUUAUCAGCUUGUUGGUGGGGUAGUGGCUUACCAAGGCUUUGACGGGUAGCCGGCCUGAGAGGGUGACCGGCCACAUUGGGACUGAGAUACGGCCCAGACUCCUACGGGAGGCAGCAGUGGGGAAUAUUGCACAAUGGGCGGAAGCCUGAUGCAGCAACGCCGCGUGCGGGAUGACGGCCUUCGGGUUGUAAACCGCUUUCGCCUGUGACGAAGAGUGAGUGACGGUAAUGGGUAAAGAAGCACCGGCUAACUACGUGCCAGCAGCCGCGGUGAUACGUAGGGUGCGAGCGUUGUCCGGAUUUAUUGGGCGUAAAGGGCUCGUAGGUGGUUGAUCGCGUCGGAAGUGUAAUCUUGGGGCUUAACCCUGAGCGUGCUUUCGAUACGGGUUGACUUGAGGAAGGUAGGGGAGAAUGGAAUUCCUGGUGGAGCGGUGGAAUGCGCAGAUAUCAGGAGGAACACCAGUGGCGAAGGCGGUUCUCUGGGCCUUUCCUGACGCUGAGGAGCGAAAGCGUGGGGAGCGAACAGGCUUAGAUACCCUGGUAGUCCACGCUGUAAACGGUGGGUACUAGGUGUGGGGUCCAUUCCACGGGUUCCGUGCCGUAGCUAACGCUUUAAGUACCCCGCCUGGGGAGUACGGCCGCAAGGCUAAAACUCAAAGGAAUUGACGGGGCCCCGCACAAGCGGCGGAGCAUGCGGAUUAAUCCGAUGCAACGCGUAGAACCUUACCUGGGUUUGACAUGGAUCGGGAGUGCUCAGAGAUGGGUGUGCCUCUUUUGGGGUCGGUUCACAGGUGGUGCAUGGCUGUCGUCAGCUCGUGUCGUGAGAUGUUGGGUUAAGUCCCGCAACGAGCGCAACCCUUGUUCACUGUUGCCAGCACGUUAUGGUGGGGACUCAGUGGAGACCGCCGGGGUCAACUCGGAGGAAGGUGGGGAUGACGUCAAGUCAUCAUGCCCCUUAUGUCCAGGGCUUCACGCAUGCUACAAUGGCUGGUACAGAGGGUGGCGAGCCUGUGAGGGUGAGCGAAUCUCGGAAAGCCGGUCUCAGUUCGGAUUGGGGUCUGCAACUCGACCUCAUGAAGUCGGAGUCGCUAGUAAUCGCAGAUCAGCAACGCUGCGGUGAAUACGUUCCCGGG